rnacentral:rRNA from 1 species
UACGUAGGUGGCAAGCGUUGUCCGGAUUUACUGGGUGUAAAGGGCGUGCAGCCGGGUUUAUAAGUCAGAUGUGAAAUCCCGCGGCUCAACCGCGGAACUGCAUUUGAAACUGUAGAUCUUGAGUACUGGAGAGGCAGGCGGAAUUCCUAGUGUAGCGGUGAAAUGCGUAGAUAUUAGGAGGAACACCAGUGGCGAAGGCGGCCUGCUGGACAGCAACUGACGGUGAGGCGCGAAAGCGUGGGGAGCAAACAGG